AAGUGGAAGCCCUCCGCCUGGAGGUUGCCGAGAUGAAGGAGAAGUACGAAGCCCUCCUGGAAGAGAACCGGAAGCUGAAAGCGAAGCUUGCUCAGUACGAACCGCCGCAGGAAGAGAAGCGUGGAGAAUAAGCCUUCUUGUGUUACUUCAAUAAAAGAUCUGGAAGGACACCUGUCUGGUGGCGCCCUGUA